UCUAGGGGCUCUUUAACAUCC
rnacentral:miRNA from 1 species